AUUGAUCUCUGGUGUGCGCGUAGUGCCAUUAGGUCGGGAGUGGUGUGAUUUUGGUCACAUGAGCCAAUCAGGUAGCCGCUUUCUCCUCACCAUAACAACCAGAUAUCAAAAAUGGCGACUACAACAUCGGAGAGCGAAGACGAGCGAAUGGUGAAAAAAGUUAAAAAGAGCGCAGAAAGUGGGAAAUAAACGAUGCUACAUGCAUCUUUUUUCCGUGAAGAAUGAGGACGUCUUGGACUUCACUUUUCAACGGUGGAACACGUACAGAACCUGCUUUAAAAAGUGGCUUUGUCUUCACGGCGCUAACAAGGAUCUUGCAGGAAUAUACAAACAUUACGUGGAUAUGGAUUUUGAAAAUAUUCCUGGCGACGCUGGAUUCCACACUACAUGCUACCGGCGUUUUACUGAUAAACAGAAAUUGUUAUAGGCUGAGAAAAAAUUCGCACGUGCUGGGGGAGAGCCAUCUGCAGCCGCGAGCCAUUCUGACCCCCCUGCGAGUACUAGCGAAGUUGCAGAAGCGUCUGAAACGCCCAGAAAAAAAUUCUUUCCCGUUCAGGUUUGCCCAUCGCUUCUGCUGGCCCUGUCCUUCCAGCCAUCUGCAUCAUUUGUAUAAAAAAAAAAAAAAAAAAAAAAAAAAAAGUGUCAAAGUAUGCUCGUUUGGGAUCGGAAGGCAAACGGCAGCGGGAUCAUCUCGCCAAAGCAGAGACAUUGUCGGCAGGCCGGUUGCUGCAGGCAGCAGAGAUGAAGAAAUACUCUUCAAUCCUUCAACAUAUCAAAGACAAAGACUGUGUUGCAAUGGAGGUGCGAUACCAUAAAUCCUGUUACCGAGAUUACACCAGGUUCCUAACCAAGUCAACAGCAGCAGAAACUGCAACGAGGGACGAAGAACUACAACCCUAUGCUGAGAGCUACAAACUCUUUUGUGAACAAGUGGUCCGUCAAAGGAUUAUCGUUGACAAAGAUGUGCUCAGAAUGGACAAGCUAAAAAGGUUGUUCGUGAACACCGUGAAGCAGGGGCGGACUGGUAAUCUGUGGGUUCUGGAGGAUCACAGAACGGCCGGUGCCCUGGACGGCCGGCGGCCGCCAUUCAUUAUACAUCACUGUUUUUAUCCCCUCUAGCCUCUCAUUAUCUACAGUUCGCAUCCAAUCCGACAGGUGGCAGCAAUGCGCUAGGCUGUUCAUCGCCAGUCUGAUAGAAGAACGAAGAAAACACAAAGUACCCUUCAUUGGUUCUUUGUGGAAGCAAACUAGCGACGAGCAUUAAUGCACAAUAUGGAUGGUGGUGGCAAAAAAAAGGGUGGCGCGGAGAAGGUUAGGGAGAAAAAAAAUUAAAGAAACAGGAGAGCAAAGCAUUAAAAUGUCUUAAGUUGAGAAAUAUUUUCGCAAGCAGCAGUCUGGCUGCAACGGCCACGUCGGGUAACAGCAGCCUAGCCCCCGGCAAUGGUGAGAGGGGUAGCGGGAGCCGCUCUGACGUGCAGCCGGUGCAGGGAGAGAGAAAACAAGAGGAAGGGUGUAAUGAUAAGCUGGUGGAAGUUCCCCAGACAAGCGCAGGGCAAGUAAAAAGGGAUGAAGAGGGUCACUUGCUCGGUAUACUGGCAAUUGUUAUCCACCAGGUAGCUACAUUUUAAAUGACAAUCAAAGGGUUAGUGCCAGCUAGUCCUUUUGCAAUCGUGUCAAGUUACAGUAUGCUAGUCCUCCUAUCACUCUCCUAAAGAAAAAUAUUUUAGCUGUAAAACAAUGUAUGCACACGCAGCAGCAAUAUUAAUUCAUAAGAAAUAUAACAAAAUAUUAAUAAAAUGAAUGGUUUUACUUUUAAAGUUUAGUAAGAUAAAUUGAUAUAUUUUUUUAAUCAUGUAUAUAUCGUUUUGUUUUCUGGUUAAUACUUUCCAAUGAAGGUUAUGUAUCCAGGAUUUGUCUUGAAAUGUUUAUUGGUAUUUUCAUUGAAAUUUAUUAUUUGUAUGGCAAGAUUAAUUAUGGCAGGGGUCUCCAAACCGGUCCUCAAGGGCCGCUGUGGGGCCUGGUUUUUGUUUCAACCGAUCGAGUACCGAUAGUUUAACCAAUGAAGUUUCUGCUAAAACAAGAAGCACCUGACUGCACUUGUAAAACACCAGAUUGGUGCAUAGGUGUUGUCUUGUUUUGUUGGAAUGAAAUCCUGCGGCCCUAUGUGGAAUAGUUUAGAGACCACUGAAUUAAGGCAUUAACAAUGAAAUCAUUUUAUAGACAUAGAUAUAUAGAGAUAUAUUAUAAUAAAUUAGAUACAUAAAACUUGCUUUGAAAAAUAAAUUCUUUCAUUUGUUUUUUCAGGUUGAUCAUAGAGCUAGUACAGAAAAUGAACCCAACUCCAGUUCAGCCUUGCAGUACUUUGAGUGCCCCAAGUCAGACAGUCACAGUCUAGACACAUUUUCUUCAUUUUCUCUCAAAGUGCACGAAAUUGAUACAUUUUACAGUAAAAUGUAAAAAAAAAAAAAAAAAAAAAAAAAGUCUUCCCGGGGGUGGGGUGGGUGUGUGGGGGGGGAAUGCCCCCCACACCCCCGGACCCCUAGGGGGUCUGUGUUUCCCUUCGUAUAGCGAUUCUUGUGGGCUGGGCUGAGUCAAAGUCCAGGGCUGCUUUUUAGUCCCAGUCCGCCCCUGCCGUGAAGAACCAUGAGGAUCUUGAUGCUUCAGACUACUGGUAGGUUUUGCUGAAAAGAAGAUUGAAGCACGAUUUCCUCCAGUUGGUUUUUCACACCCCUGUCCAGCGCAACAUGUCUGAAAUGUUUUUUUUUUUUUUUGGAGACAUUAUCAACAACAGACAAACUUUUAGACAGGAUACCUCAGUCAUCGGGUACAUCAGCUACCGAAUCUACUGAGGUAAGCCAAGAAAGUGACACUGAAAAAAUGGGUAGCACAACAUCAGGUUGGAAAACCAGCUCUGGGCCCAAGUGUUUGUUCAGCCCUCUUUGGCAUCCAUACAUUCACAGGUUGUGACUCAACCAGUGCCUUUCAUGGCAAGGGCAAAACAAAGACAUUUUCUCUUGCUUGUCAGCAAGUAGAAUACCUGACUGCGUUUACAUAUCUGGGUAGUAGUUUUAACCUUGACCAGUCUACAUUUGAGGCAUUGAGCAAAUAUAUGUGCCAUCUAUAUGGCCAGUCAACUGCCAAAAAUGUCAACUAUGCAAGAUACAAGGCAUUCUGUAUGGCAUCGUCAGCUUUGCCAGAACUGUCCAUUCCUCCAACAAGUGAUGCUCUCUUCCAAUACAGCAAAAGGGAAAACUACCAAACAGCAGUAAUGCAACAUUCUCUGACUGGUAUGAUGUGUGCCCCUUCACCAAUUGGCAAUGGAUGGGACAUUGAGGAUGGUGAAUUAACAGUAAAAUGGAUGACUAGAAAUCCUGCCCCAGAUAGUGUGCUACAGGUUGCUGUGGUUGCAAGAUAAACAAGUGUGAGACUGAAAGAUGUUCAUGCUUGUCUGCAAAAAUGUCUUGUACAGAUUUAUGCCACUGCCAGAACUGUGAAAGUAUUUCAAAGGAAACAGAAAGAGGCACAUGGGAUAAUGACACUGAUGAUAGUGAUAUUGAUGAGUAAUCACCCACCAUGUAAAAUCUGUCCUAAGUUUUGAUUCAUUAUCAAGAUGGUACUCUCCAUUUUAACCCUUUUAAAACAAAAAAAAAAAUGUCUGUAUUGCCUUUUCCCAAAACAUAGACCUUUGUUCAAUUUGACUGCCAAAAAAGAUGGCUGUUCCAAUGAAGUGCCAUGGUUUUAUUGUGAAUGCACAUUUGAUAUAUGUAAAUAUAUAUUAUUUUUUUGUGUGAGGCAGGGGUGGGGGUGUAAAUGACAUGCUGUGACAUAAUCUGACACUUUAAUAAAUACUCUUUGUUACAAUUAUCUGGGCUCUUAAUGCAUUUAUUUUCAUCCAGUCCAUUUUGCCUUGUUCCAGUUUUGAGGUGCAUAGUAGGAUUUUCAGCCAUUUUUGGCCAAUGUGUGCUGCUUCUUGUGUACCUUUCAUUACAUAGUAGGUUGUGAAUUGUUUUCAUAUAUAAAACAUAAGCUUUUAGAUAAAUGUAACAUAUAUGCUUCAUGUGCUGGUGUCACCUCUAGUUGAAGUGAUUUUUUUGCACAGAUUUGCUACAUUUAAUGAUCUAAAUUCACAUAUGAUUAUACUAAACCACCAAUACUUGUUUCUGAUAUUAAGUACAUGUUUGUAUGACAUUUGAGAAAGAUUUUGUGUUGCCAAAUUUAAUGUAAGACUUUUUACACCCAGAAAUGGCAGCACCAGAUUUUCGUUUUUUGUUAUUUCCCUAUGUAUAUAUUCCUGGCUUUUGACAAAAUUGGUGCAGGGAAACGUUGGGUGAACUUUUAACCCAAAGUUCAGAAGGGUAUUAUCUAUCAAAAAAUGCAUUGAACAAGUAGUGCCCAGAAAGUGGAACGAAACUCAUUUUCUAGGCACUUUUUCAGGGUCCACCCCAAGGCCUACCUGAAAGGUACCCGUUUUGGUUUUAGGUCAGUAGCGGCUUUAGUUUGAAAAUAUUUGAAUUUCCAAUUUUUGAAAAUAGGCCCCCUACGGAGCAGCCCCGCGCCCUGUUAACCGAUAGUGAAGUGUAUGCCUUUUUUCAGGAAUUUAAAUUGGUCAAAACUUUCAAAAACAGACAGGCAGGUGAAAACACCUAGUUUCUACAAUUUGGACACUAGGUGUCAGCAUUGUCUCAAAUUCAAAUUGCAUACUUUAAUAAUGGGAGUGAUGAACUCUUCCAGGAAGUUGUGGCGAAGCAGUGAAGGCCAGUUGUAGUGGAUGAAGUUGAUCAGCAAACCUUUAAUGUGGGAGCCAUCUUGAUCCUUUCACAGUACAAUUCCAGAUUCGCAAUGAGUCCAAUUUGGUGGCUUUUUUGGGGUGAGAAGAAUGCUAAGAAGAUACCUGAUCUGUCAUGAUCAUGAGUUUGCCAUAGCGCAGGGUCUUAAGGGACUCUGGAUCGGUGUAGUUCUUUUUGUACUGCAAACCCAGGAUCUUGAUGACGUUAUUGAUCUCGGCAUUCUCCAUAAUCUGCCAGAGAACAUGUAUGGAAAUUUACACAUCAAGCAAAAUAGCAUGGAAAAAAAUCUCGCUUGCGUUUUGAGUCCGACCUGUUUGUGAGACGCCUCUCGCACGUUGAGCAUUUUUCCCCUCAAGGGGAAGACACCGUAGCGGUCCCUGCCGACCACGCCCAACCCGGACACAGCUAGCGUCUUGGCCGAAUCUCCCUCGGUGAGAAUGAGGGUACAGCCGAUGGAGUUCUUGCCGCCUGCCAGACGUCAAGGUUGUUAGCCGCUGCUAGCCGACAAACUAGGCGUAAAAACUUGGAUGUCCCGAUCGUGUAUUUUUACACCAGAGUCCUAGUCACCUGAUUUUUAGAAUCUGCCGA